rnacentral:misc_RNA from 1 species
UCCGGCUUAUCACCGGCGGUUUCUUUAGAGUGCCCAACUGAAUGAUGGCAACUAAAGACGAGGGUUGCGCUCGUUGCGGGACUUAACCCAACAUCUCACGACACGAGCUGACGACAGCCAUGCAGCACCUGUGUCCAGGUCCCGUAAGGGAAGGAAUCCAUCUCUGGAAACCGUCCUGGCAUGUCAAACGCUGGUAAGGUUCUGCGCGUUGCGUCGAAUUAAACCACAUGCUCCACCGCUUGUGCAGGCCCCCGUCAAUUUCUUUGAGUUUUAAUCUUGCGACCGUACUUCCCAGGCGGCGUAUUUAUCGCGUUUGCUACGCCACAAAAGGGGUCGAUUCCUUUUACAGCAAAUACGCACCGUUUACGGCUAGGACUAC